UUUUGUAUGGACCUUGAACAAAAUUUCCACAAUCUAAACACUGGACAUCCGAGAGACAGACGCACUUGAAAGAGACAUUUGAGACAAAGCAGAGUGACCAUUCCAACACUGACAGGAAGAUGUGUCGCUCACUGCUCUUCCUGCUGCUCAUCGCUGGAGCUCUGCUGAUCUCUACUGAGGGUCAGCAGGAUUAUCACACGCUCACUGAUGUACACAAGGAUGCUGUUGACAAGGCAAUUCAACACUGCAAUGAAAAAUCCUCAAAGCAUGUUAAUUUCCUUGGCUUCCUUCCUGAUUCAGAGAAAUCUGAUCCAUUUUACAUUGAGCUUCACUUGAAAGUCACCACCUGCACAAAAACAGGAAAGACCACACAUCGAGAUGACUGCCCAUUUAUGAACCGAAGGCCAAAAAUCAACUGUGCUGUUUGCAAUAACGGGAUUAAGUCCGGCCCCGGCAUUCACUGCGUUACGCAACUGCAACUAAAUCAGUCCAUGGAAGAGCGGAAGAAAGUGUGCCCAAUUCACGUCUUCGGGGCAGGCAGUGUAAACACACUGAAGAAACAGGAAAAACCACCUGCUGAGUGUCUAGGGUGCUUCUGAAUGUCCCGGCGAGUUUGGGCUGUCCGAUCCCCAAAUUCAGUGCAAUGAAGGCUCUGUGACAGUUUCAUGUCCGAAAUACUGUGCUGUAUUCUAUUCCCUCCUUUGGCAGAAUGUACUCAAAUUGCUUUAUUUGUAUAGCACCUUUCAUACAGAAUGCUGCUGAAAGUGCUUAGCAGGACUAAUGAAACCAAGGAAGACAGAGAAUAACACAAUGAUAAUAGUCGAUUAUACAAAUUAAAAUAAUAAAACUAAAUAAAGAGGGAAUCAAAUAAAAUCUUUUCAAAAGACCUGCUUGCAUGCAGUGAUUACACAUCUAUUCCAUGUAGAAACUUUGACUGUUGGAACUUGGAACUUGGACUGUUGAAGGUUUGACUGUUGGAACUUCAAAUAUGUACAGAUUACAGUGUUUACCACAGGAAGUUAAUCUUCGGAUUUGGGGGGGCAAGCAAACACAUUUUUGUUUUUCCGAAGGAGGGAAACAAAUUUUUACUUGCUCAAGUCAUUCAUGAAUUUUUGAUACUCUGUGCAAUAUGUGAUGCCCACUAAAAUGUGAUCACAUUAGUGAUGUUAUUUUUGCGAGCUUAUAAUUUUAUUUUCCAGGUAAAAUCUGUCUAUUUGUUUCACGAUAAUGAUUUUACCUAAAUUGCCUGUAAUAGCAAUUGCACGACACCAGAUGACAUGGUUGAGUCUAGGUAUUGGACUUGCGAGGGCUCGCCAUAACUUUGAGAGACUUCGUGAAUACAGUUCACGUCUAACGGACUCUUCAUUUUUGUGACUGUUUUCCAGGUUAGUAAAGUGUCACAAGCACCAUGUAUUGUGUAAUUCAGUUUUAUAAAAUCAGUAUAGAGUUUGAUUUACGUUUGUCAGAUUGGUGAAUGUCCAGUUUGUCUAGUUUGGUGUAAAUUAGCUAAUGUAGGCUAACUAAGACGUGAGAAGUUAGCUAACGUUAGGCAGUAAUGUUAUGAAUGCUCCGAACGCUAGCUAACUAUAUAACUUAUUUGAAUUAAUUUUACCGUUACUAAGCAAAGUUAACGUUAGCCCUACGUUAGUUUCCUGUGAAAUUUGGAAAGUUAGCGAACAUUGCUUGUUUUCCUGUUUGGGGCGAAAUUCGGUAAUGUUAGCUACCAAGGGCAUAUGCUCAUAUUCGUUUGGAUAUCAAUUCAGUUACUGAUGUAAAGUUAGCCCAGAUUGGCACUGCCGCUAUUCUAGCUAACAUUAACGUACUCUGUUCUCCAAUUAACGCUAUGUGCCGUUGUUGUAGAGACAACGGGAUUCAGCACUCGGCGCUUUGAUAGCUUUGUAUCCUGUCCUGUAAAUGGCUCCACGUAUCCCAUUCCUUUUAAUUUUAUAUUUUUGGCUGGCUCAAUAGUUUCAAGUUUAAUGAAACGGUUCAAUUGUUUAAACUAUAGAAUAAUAUGCAAGUUAAUUAUUCAUCACUGUGAUGCAUGUCCGAGGAUACUGGGAAGUAUGUAAAGUGCAUUGAGGAUGCUGAUGCAGAAUAUAAACAUGUUUAGGAAUGACCAUUUAUUUUGAGUGUCUAUAAACAAGUUCUAAAUGUCUAGUGAAUAGAGAUAUGGAAAGUGUAUGGGGAAGAUACUGUUUUUGAUAGUGACCAUUGUAUUUUGAGUGUUCUAUGAACAAGAUAUAAAUGUCAAAGAGACAGACAAUGGUUAUAUCUGUACAGCAGUACAAGUGACUCUAUUAAAGGGACAGUGCAGGCAGGGGUGAUAAUUCUAAUACUUGUGAUAAUUGUAAUAAUUGUGAGAAUUGUAAAUAAAGAUAACUUUGAGAGACUUCGUGAAAACAGGUCACAUCUAACUGACUUCAUUUUUGUGACUGUUUUCCAGAUAUUUAAAAAUAUCACUGUCUAUGCGUACCAAGCCCGGUACGUGUAUCAAAUACAGAACAUAAACAUGCACACAAAAUAAAUAAAUAGAAAAUUGAU